UUUAUGCAUCCCCCCGGAGGUGGAUACCUCGGCUCGUGUAUCGAUGAAGAACGCAGCAAGGUGCGAUAAUUCGGGCAAAUCGCAAUGCUGAGUUAAUCAUUGAAAUUUUGAACGUAUAAAUCAAUGGUGUUAGCACCAUUGGUACGUUUGAUCGUGUGUCAAUGUUAUUGUAUCAGAU
rnacentral:rRNA from 1 species